rnacentral:piRNA from 1 species
UGAGAGGAACACCUGGCUUGUGACUUA